rnacentral:rRNA from 1 species
GACGAACGCUGGCGGCGUGCUUAACACAUGCAAGUCGAACGGAAAGGCCCUGCUUUUGUGGGGUGCUCGAGUGGCGAACGGGUGAGUAACACGUGAGUAACCUGACCUUGACUUUGGGAUAACUUCAGGAAACUAGGGCUAAUACCGGAUAGGAGCUCCCGCCGCAUGGUGGGGGUUGGAAAGUUUCGGCGGUUGGGGAUGGACUCGCGGCUUAUCAGCUUGUUGGUGAGGUAGUGGCUUACCAAGGCUUUGACGGGUAGCCGGCCUGAGAGGGUGACCGGCCACAUUGGGACUGAGAUACGGCCCGGACUCCUACGGGAGGCAGCUGUGGGGAAUAUUGCACAAUGGGCGGAAGCCUGAUGCAGCAACGCCGCGUGCUGGAUGACGGCCUUCGGGUUGUAAACCGCUUUCGCCUGUGACGAAGCGUGAAUGACGGUAAUGGGUAAAGAAGCACCGGCUAACUACGUG